GUCUCAUAACAUAUCAGAUAUGGGCGAAACAUAUCUUAUUUUUUCAAUCCAAAACCGUUUGUCUAACGAAAAAAAGUCGAGAGGUUCUUUUUGUUAGCAACUAAUAAGAGAUUACAAAACUGAUUUUUAUUUUGGUCAAUACCAACGGUUCAAAAAAAGGUUCUGGACGAAGUACUUAAAAAUAUACGCAGCGAACGUGUUAAAAAGCAUAAAGUGUAUGUAAAUAGGCCACAGAUUAUCCAAGAACUGAAAUAGAGAGUUACAAAAGAGACAGCACCAAUUUCUCCGGAAAUGAUUAGAAAAGUCUUAGAUGAAUUCUUAUCGACCCCGAAGAGGUUGUAAUGUAUUUUUGAAAAUUGUUUUUUUAUAAUAAAUGAAAACUGAAUAUUU
rnacentral:lncRNA from 1 species